GGUGCAGCAAAGCUUUAUGUUUAAUUUUUGUACGAGAGACAGAGAGAGACAGAGAGAGAGAGAGAGGAGGGGAGGAGAGGGGAAGAAGGGAGGGGGGGGGGUUUAGAAUAGAAGUGCAGGACGAGGCGUGAGAAAGGGAGGCAUAUGUCAGUUCCAUAGGAGCACAGGAUUAUGGGGACCAUAUUAGAUUGAGACCUCUGAAUCCACUCUUCCCCCUCCCUCUCUCUCUCCCAUUUACAUUACCUUCCAACCGACAGGGCUGUCACUCUUUUCCUCUCCCACUCCCUCUCUUUCUCUCCUCAUCUUGCCAUACAUUCAUACAUACAUUGUAUCCUUUUAUUAUAUAAAAGA
rnacentral:sRNA from 1 species